ACUCCUACGGGAGGCAGCAGUGGGGAAUAUUGCACAAUGGGCGCAAGCCUGAUGCAGCCAUGCCGCGUGUGUGAAGAAGGCCUUCGGGUUGUAAAGCACUUUCAGUCGUGAGGAAGGUAGUGUAGUUAAUAGCUGCAUUAUUUGACGUUAGCGACAGAAGAAGCACCGGCUAACUCCGUGCCAGCAGCCGCGGUAAUACGGAGGGUGCGAGCGUUAAUCGGAAUUACUGGGCGUAAAGCGCAUGCAGGUGGUUUGUUAAGUCAGAUGUGAAAGCCCGGGGCUCAACCUCGGAAUUGCAUUUGAAACUGGCAGACUAGAGUACUGUAGAGGGGGUUAGAAUUUCAGGUGUAGCGGUGAAAUGCGUAGAGAUCUGAAGGAAUACCGGUGGCGAAGGCGGCCCCCUGGACAGAUACUGACACUCAGAUGCGAAAGCGUGGGAGCGAAACAGGAUUAGAUACCCCGUGGUAGGACAGUG
rnacentral:rRNA from 1 species